CGCGUGGUUCUAUUUUGUUGGUUUUUAGAACCGCCGUAAUGAUUAAUAGGGACAGUCGGGGGCAUCUGUAUUCAAUUGUCAGAGGUGAAAUUCUUGGAUCUAUUGAAGACAAACUACUGCGAAAGCAUUUGCCAAGGAUGUUUUCAUUGAUAAGGAACGAAAGUUAGGGGAUCGAAGACGAUCAGAUACCGUCGUAGUCUUAACUAUAAACUAUGCCGACUAGGGAUCGGACGAUGUUAUUUUUUGACUCGUUCGGCACCUUUCGAGAAAUCAAAGUGCUUGGGCUCCAGGGGGAGUAUGGUCGCAAGGCUGAAACUUAAAGAAAUUGACGGAAGGGCACCACCAGGGGUGGAACCUGCGGCUUAAUUUGACUCAACACGGGGAAACUCACCAGGUCCAGACACAGUGAGGAUUGACAGAUUGAUAGCUCUUUCUUGAUUCUGUGGGUGGUGGUGCAUGGCCGUUCUUAGUUGGUGGAGUGAUUUGUCUGCUUAAUUGCGAUAACGAACGAGACCUUAACCUGCUAAAUAGCCCGUUCUGCUCCGGCAGUACGCUGGCUUCUUAGAGGGACUAUCGGCUCAAGCCGAUGGAAGUUUGAGGCAAUAACAGGUCUGUGAUGCCCUUAGAUGUCCUGGGCCGCACGCGCGUUACACUGACAAAGCCAGCGAGUAUUUCCUUAGCUGGAAGCUUUGGUAAUCUCGUAAACUUUGCGUGC
rnacentral:rRNA from 1 species